UGAACAGGAAAGUGAGAACAAAGGCGUUGUUGUAGCCAUUUUGGCCAUGCUACAACGAUGCAGACAGCUCUCUUUGUCACUCCUACAACGUGCUUGUUCAAACAACACAUUUUCUUUCAGGUUUUGUGCUUUAGGCAGAGUGACAUGAUGCAGGAUGGAGUUGCGAAGAGUUCCAGGACAUGGUCAAAGAUGGCUGGAACAGUCGGAUGGAUUUGCAAUCAUGCAAUAAAGGCCCACAUGAGACGCCAUGGUCAAAUGGUUGGAGAUCGUUGAGAGUUUGCAGCUAUUGAUGAAAGUUGUUGUAAUAAUAGCAAGUAUCACCACAGAAGGGCCGGUGCAACAUGGCGACGGAAAAAGUGGGUAUUAAGAAUAUUAGGAGUAGGUGACCGCCAGAAACAUCCUGUCUUGUGGCUGGUGUGGUUAAACAAGUGCGUCCGGGAACCACCGUCAUCAGUGACCAAUGGGGCACUUACAGGAGUGCAUUGACUGCGACAGGCUACAGGCACUUCACAGUGAACCACUGUCAGUAGUUUGCGGAUCCAAACACCUUGCGCGCCUCCCAGUAUGUCAACCCCAGCUUUCUCUGUGGACCAUGCAACUUGGACUUUCCGAGUUUCAUAUAGGACAAUGCAUCUUGCUCUGCAUCUGUAAACCAUGGAUUCAUCUUUUGGACAUUUUCAGGAGAAUGGCUGUG